AAUUCGCCCUUAGAGUUUGAUCCUGGCUCAGAGUGAACGCUGGCGGCGUGCCUAACACAUGCAAGUCGAGCGAGAACGGCCUCUUCCACCCUUCGGGGUGGAAGAGGUGUCAGCUAAGCGGCGCACGGGUGAGUAACACGUAGCUAACCUGCCCCAUAGCGGGGGAUAACAGGCCGAAAGGCCUGCUAAUACCCUAUACCCCUUCCUCACACAAGUGAGGUUGAGGAAAGCAUUAUGUAGCGCUAUGGGAUGGGGCUGCGGCCUAUCAGCUAGUUGGUGGGGUAACGGCCUACCAAGGCGAUGACGGGUAGCUGGUCUGAGAGGAUGGUCAGCCACACUGGAACUGAGACACGGUCCAGACUCCUACGGGAGGCAGCAGUGGGGAAUAUUGCGCAAUGGGGGCAACCCUGACGCAGCAACGCCGCGUGGAGGAUGACGCCCUUCGGGGUGUAAACUCCUUUUGCAGGGGAAGAUGGUGACGGUA
rnacentral:rRNA from 1 species